rnacentral:rRNA from 1 species
GUGUCAGCCGCCGCGGUAAUACGUAGGGAGCUAGCGUUGUCCGGAAUUAUUGGGCGUAAAGGGCGCGCAGGUGGUUAGAUAAGUCACUUGUUUAAUCCGCAAGCUUAACUUGCGAUCGGCAUGUGAAACUAUUUAACUAGAGUAUAGGAGAGGAAAGUGGAAUUCCCAGUGUAGCGGUGAAAUGCGUAGAUAUUGGGAAGAACACCGGUGGCGAAGGCGACUUUCUGGACUAUUACUGACACUGAGGCGCGAAAGCCAGGGGAGCAAACGGGAUUAGAAACCCCCGUAGUCC